UUGGUGUUGGUGAAUAGUGUCUUCUGUAAUUUUUGGUUUCAUCUUUUUGUAGGAAAUAAUAACCAUGGGUGAGAAUUGGUAUUUACUGGGUGUUGAUCUUUAACUCUAAAUGUUGUCUUCAAUAAUUUUCGGUUUCAUCUUUUACUAGGAAGUAAUAUCCAUGGGUAAAAACUUAAAAUUGAUAUUUACUGGAUGUUGUUCUGUUAACUCUGAAUGUUUGUGGAUUGAAUUCAAAAUCAUGUUCAUGUUGUUGAGAUAUUUGUU
rnacentral:lncRNA from 1 species